GGGGUUGUAACUCAGUGGUAGAGCGCUUGCCUGGCAUGCAUGAGGCACUGAGUUCGAGCCUUAGCACCA
rnacentral:tRNA from 1 species